AUGAGAGGUGCUGACCUAGAAGAGGAGCCCCUCUUCCCCCUGCCCCAGUGUGAGCCGCCAGACACAAGAGGAACCACUCUGAGGUCACAAGACACCACUGGCCCUCCUCUCUGUAGGUACUCCCCCUCUCAUCUCAACAAGUUCACUCUUUCUAAACUUAAUCAGUUCUAUAAGCAACGUAGUAAGAACAAAUGGGCUGUUGCUGGUGACCGUAAUACUAAUUUUUUUCACCAAGCUGUUGUUAAGCGUAGGAAGAGAAAUACCAUUUGCUCUGUUAAGGAUGAGAAUAAUAUGAUUCAUUUCAAUCCUGCUGCUAUCACGAAUACCUUUGUUAAAUACAAUGAUAAUGUGGGUAAUCCGUACCUUUCAACACAAUGGCCCAGUGGCUCUUUGGAUCCCACCUAUGCUCUGCCUGACAAUCAUGAGAUUUUGCAGAUUCUGAAGGAUAUGAAACCUAAUGCUUCUCCAGGUGAUGGUUUUAAUGUUGAGUUCUAUUUAGCUACUUGGGACUGGAUUGGAGACGAGGUAACUCAGCUUGUUGUUAGUUUUUAUCUUUCUGGAGUUCUUCCUCCUCAUAUUAAUAACACCAACAUUGCUCUCAUUCCUAAAAAACUUGUUCCUCAAGUGCCUAUGGAUUACAGGCCU
rnacentral:rRNA from 1 species